CCCUUAGAUGUUCUGGGCCGCACGCGCGCUACACUGAUGAAUUCAACGAGCUCCUAACCUAGGCCGAAGGGUCCGGGUAAUCUUUGAAAUUUCAUCGUGAUGGGGAUAGAUUAUUGCAAUUAUUAAUCUUCAACGAGGAAUUCCUAGUAAGCGCGAGUCAUCAGCUCGCGUUGAUUACGUCCCUGCCCUUUGUACACACCGCCCGUCGCUCCUACCGAUUGAAUGGUCCGGUGAAAUGGUCGGACCGCGACAAGGCGGACGGUUCGCUGUCAGCUUUGCUGCGGGAAGUUCAUUAAACCUUAUCAUUUAGAGGAAGGAGAAGUCGUANCA
rnacentral:rRNA from 1 species